GACGAACGCUGGCGGCGUGCCUAAUACAUGCCAGUCGAGCGGACGAAUCGAAAGCUUGCUUUUGAUUCGUUAGCGGCGGACGGGUGAGUAACACGUGGGCAACCUGCCCUGUAGACGGGGAUAACACCGAGAAAUCGGUGCUAAUACCGGAUAACACGAAAUGUCGCAUGACGCUUCGUUGAAAGACGGCGCAAGCUGUCGCUACAGGAUGGGCCCGCGGCGCAUUAGCUAGUUGGUGAGGUAACGGCUCACCAAGGCGACGAUGCGUAGCCGACCUGAGAGGGUGAUCGGCCACACUGGGACUGAGACACGGCCCAGACUCCUACGGGAGGCAGCAGUAGGGAAUCUUCCGCAAUGGACGAAAGUCUGACGGAGCAACGCCGCGUGAGCGAAGAAGGCCUUCGGGUCGUAAAGCUCUGUUGUUAGGGAAGAACAAGUAACGCAGUAACUGGCGUUACCGUGACGGUACCUAACGAGAAAGCCACGGCUAACUACGUG
rnacentral:rRNA from 1 species